UCAGACAGUUGUAGUUACAGACAGUGACCACCGGAUGGCAGUGAUCGUGAUGGUUUCUCUCUGUUGUUAUUAAAGCGACAUGAUGUAGUUCAUCGUUUCACCGCCAGAUGGAGACAAAUCUCUGUCACCGGUCAUUUUACUAUCGUAAAAGAAGAAACCGGAAGUAGUGAACAGGUGUUGAUCAGUCAAUGGUGUUGAUUAAUUAACCUGAUUAAUGUUGAGUUAGCAACUGACUUUGGUCUCACUGUAUAGGGAACAAAUAAGUAAAACCCGACAUGAAGACACUGAGAGUUAUAUCCAGUGACAGGAUGUUGAGGAGAACAGUCAGUGAUGCAGUGAGUUUCCACCAGGACCAAGACCUCAACACAACCAUGUUCCUCCUGAAAUCCUGCUCAGAGAAGAGAUAGAGGUCAGAGACUUCAAGCUUGGACUCACGUAGAGACAGAUCUUAGAAGUGCUCUGCGGUGUUCACCAAACCCACAGAUGAGAGAUCCAAGCCCAGGAUAUGAGACAGAUGUGUGGGAGAAAACCCAUCCAGCGUCUGACUGCAGGUCAGGUACAGAUGAGCUAAAGUUUAUGAUGUUUAUCACUUGAGACAUGAGACAUCAACUCAUCCUCCUCCUUCUGCAGCUUAAUUAUUCUCCUGGUUGAUUUCAGCGUGAUGAGGCAUCGCGUCAUCUUUCUGUACUUUCUCAUUACCUUUGUAGGAAUUAGGCAUCUGCAGUGGAAACGGAUGACCUCCAUUGUUUCAUUCGUUUUUUAAAUUUGGAAUAUUGUUUAGUCAUGUUUUUUUUUUUGUUUGUUUGUUUCUUUUUACAAAUGUGCUGCAGGACGUAAAGCAGAUCAGAUCAGAUCUGGCGUUGUAUGUAAACUCUUGUUACUGCAGAGACUGAAUGAGCUCUAUGAUGAAGACGGGAUGUUUUACUCCAAAGAAUCUGUCAUACUUGAAAAAUGUGCAGAUGUUUUGUUUUUCCAGAUGUUUUGUGUUUUUCUUGGAUGUUUCUGGGCAGAUAAACUGCUGAUGUCUCGUCUGUGAUGUUAAAACAAGUUUAAAUGUUCAGCUACCGUCAAUUAUAUCAUGAAUGUUUAAUGUUUUUAGUGUUUUUUCAUGUGUGCUUAUGCUGAGUGUUUCAGGCCGUUCAGAUAUUUAU